GCCUUCGUGGUGUAGUGGUCAGCACGCUCGACGCGCAUUCGAGAGGUCCGUGGUUCGAGACCCGGCGAGGGCA
rnacentral:tRNA from 1 species